AUUAUUGACAAAUAAUACAUAGUCAAAAAUUGGAACGAUACAGUGAAAAUUAGCAUGGCCUCUGCGCAAGCAUGACACGCAAAUUCGUUAAGCGUUUCAUGUUUAC